rnacentral:rRNA from 1 species
UACAGAGGGUGCAAGCGUUGUUCGGAAUUACUGGGCGUAAAGGGCGUGUAGGCGGCCAACUAAGUCCGACGUGAAAUCCCCAGGCUUAACCUGGGAACUGCGUCGGAUACUGGAUGGCUUGAAUCCGGGAGAGGGAUGCAGAAUUCCAGGUGUAGCGGUGAAAUGCGUAGAUAUCUGGAGGAAUACCGGUGGCGAAGGCGGCAUCCUGGACCGGCAUUGACGCUGAAGCGCGAAAGCUAGGGGAGCAAACGGG